rnacentral:rRNA from 1 species
CUUUAGGAGGGGCUUGCGCCAUAUUAGUUAGUUGGUAGGGUAAUGGCCUACCAAGACGAUGAUGUGUAGCUGGACUGAGAGGUUGAACAGCCACAUUGGGACUGAGACACGGCCCAAACUCCUACGGGAGGCAGCAGUAGGGAAUUUUCGGCAAUGGAGGAAACUCUGACCGAGCAACGCCGCGUGAAUGACGAAGUACUUCGGUAUGUAAAGUUCUUUUAUCAAGGAAGAAAAGCAAAUGGCGAACCAUUUGUUUGCCGGUACUUGAUGAAUAAGCCCCGGCUAAUUAUGUGCCAGCAGCCGCGGUAAGACAUAAGGGGCAAGUGUUAUCCGGAAUUAUUGGGCGUAAAGGGUGCGUAGGCGGUCUAGUAAGUCAGUGGUGUAAUGGCAACGCUUAACGUUGUCCGGCUAUUGAAACUGCUAAACUUGAGUUAGAUAGAGGCGAGUGGAAUUCCAUGUGUAGCGGUAAAAUGCGUAAAUAUAUGGAGGAACACCAGAGGCGUAGGCGGCUCGCUGGGUCUUAACUGACGCUGAGGCACGAAAGCGUGGGGAGCAAACAGGAUUAGAUACCCUGGUAGUCCACGCCGUAAACGAUGAGUACUAAGUGUCGGGUUAAACCGGUACUGAAGUUAACACAUUAAGUACUCCGCCUGAGUAGUACGUACGCAAGUAUGAAACUUAAAGGAAUUGACGGGACUCCGCACAAGCGGUGGAUCAUGUUGUUUAAUUCGAAGAUACCCGAAAAACCUUACCAGGUCUUGACAUGUUUUUGCAAAAUGAUAGUAAUAUCGUGGAGGUUACCAGAAACACAGGUGGUGCAUGGUUGUCGUCAGCUCGUGUCGUGAGAUGUUAGGUUAAGUCCUAAAACGAGCGAAACCCUUAUCGUUAGUUGCCAGCACGUUAUGGUGGGGACUUUAACGAGACUGCCAAUGAUAAAAUUGGAGGAAGGUGAGGAUCACGUCAAAUCAGCAUGCCCCUUAUGACCUGGGCUACAAACGUGAUACAAUGGCUGUUACAAAGGGUAGCUGAAACGCAAGUUCUUGGCCAAUCCCCAAAAACAGUCCCAGUCCGGAUUGAAGUCUGCAACUCGACUUCAUGAAGUUGGAAUCGCUAGUAAUCCGGAUCAGCUUUCCGGGGAACGUCCG